rnacentral:rRNA from 1 species
UACGGGGGGGGGCAAGCGUUGUUCGGAAUUACUGGGCGUAAAGGGCUCGUAGGCGGCCAACUAAGUCAGACGUGAAAUCCCUCGGCUUAACCGGGGAACUGCGUCUGAUACUGGGAGGCUUGAAUCCGGGAGAGGGAUGUGGAAUUCCAGGUGUAGCGGUGAAAUGCGCAGAUAUCAGGAAGAACACCCGUGGCGAAGGCGGUUCUCUGGAACGCAACUGACGCUGAGAACGCGAAAGCCGUGGGGAGCAAACAGG